AGAGAGAAGCUUGCUUCUCUUGAGAGCGGCGGACGGGUGAGUAAUGCCUAGGAAUCUGCCUGGUAGUGGGGGAUAACGUUCGGAAACGGACGCUAAUACCGCAUACGUCCUACGGGAGAAAGCAGGGGACCUUCGGGCCUUGCGCUAUCAGAUGAGCCUAGGUCGGAUUAGCUAGUUGGUGAGGUAAUGGCUCACCAAGGCGACGAUCCGUAACUGGUCUGAGAGGAUGAUCAGUCACACUGGAACUGAGACACGGUCCAGACUCCUACGGGAGGCAGCAGUGGGGAAUAUUGGACAAUGGGCGAAAGCCUGAUCCAGCCAUGCCGCGUGUGUGAAGAAGGUCUUCGGAUUGUAAAGCACUUUAAGUUGGGAGGAAGGGUUGUAGAUUAAUACUCUGCAAUUUUGACGUUACCGACAGAAUAAGCACCGGCUAACUCUGUGCCAGCAGCCGCGGUAAUACAGAGGGUGCAAGCGUUAAUCGGAAUUACUGGGCGUAAAGCGCGCGUAGGUGGUUUGUUAAGUUGGAUGUGAAAUCCCCGGGCUCAACCUGGGAACUGCAU
rnacentral:rRNA from 1 species